GUCUCUCUCAGUGUCAAGUGACACGAGAGUGGCUGCUGCUGAAAAAUCUGUUCACAGAACGAGUGGAUAUUUGAAUCUCCAUUCUCUGGUUAUGUCAUACACAUUGGAAGUGACUGCGUCACGCCACACUGCUCAGGCACCCGCAUGGUCAUGUGAAGGCCCAACUACAUGAAAGGAGCAAGAGCCAUACCAUUAAGGGAACAUUUCAGUUGCCCAUCCCUCAAGGUCUGAUAUGGAACCCUCAGCAACUGUACCUGGAGGCAGAAUGCUGAGAAGACUAACAUGGCUAUUUCUCUGGAAUUUGUUGUUCAGAUGUCUUCUCUGUUCAUACAUGCUGUCAGAUUUAGUCUGAUAUUAAGAUAACAAGCAGAAAAAAAAUGAGGAGAUGAGGCAGAAAAAGCU